rnacentral:snRNA from 1 species
GUGCUCACUUCAGCAGUACAUAUACUAAAAUUGGAACGAUACAGAGAAGAUUAGCAUAGCCCCUUUUUAAAAAUAUAUAUAUAUAUAUAUAUUUU